AAUGAACGCUGGCGGCAUGCCUAACACAUGCAAGUCGAACGACAGCACAGUAAGAGCUUGCUCUUACGGGUGGCGAGUGGCGGACGGGUGACGAAUGCAUCGGAUUCUUCUUUGACGGGGGUGAUAACGUAGGAAAACUUCUGCUAACACCGCAUAUGUCCUACGGGUUAGAGCAGGGGUUCUUCUGACUUUUCGCGAGUGUAAUAGCCGAUGUCGGAUUAGAUAGUUGGCUGGGUAAAGGCCCACCAAGGCGACGAUCCGUAGCUGGUCUGAGAGGAUGAUCAGCCACUCUGGAACGAGGACACGGUCCAGACUCGUACGGGAGGCAGAGGUGGGAAACAUUGGACAGGGGGCGGAAGCGUGUUCCAGACAUACGGCGUGGGUGAAGAAGGCCUUCGGGUUGUAAAGCCUGUUUGUUGGGAAAGAAAAACGGCAGGUUAACACGGCGCUGUUUGAACGGUCCCCAAAAAAUAGGCACGGCUAACUUUGUG
rnacentral:rRNA from 1 species